CCUAAGGUAGCGAAAUUCCUUGUCAGGUAAGUUCUGACCCGCACGAAUGGCGUAAUGAUUUGGGCACUGUCUCAACAGCCCGCCCGGCGAAAUUGUAGUACUGGUGAAGAUGCCAGUUACCCGCAACUAGACGGAAAGACCCCAUGGAGCUUUACUGUAGCCUAAUACUGAAGAUCGGUAAUGCAUGUACAGGAUAGGUGGGAGCCAGCGAAACCCGGGCGUCAGCUCGGAUGGAGGCAACCUUGGAAUACCACCCUUGUAUUGCUGGUUUUCUAACCUGCGGCCAUGAAUCUGGUCGGGGGACACUGUUAGGUGGGCAGUUUGACUGGGGCGGUCGCCUCCAAAAGCGUAACGGAGGCGCUCAAAGGUUGGCUCAGCACGGACGGAAAUCGUGCAUAGAGUGCAAACGCAUAAGCCAACUUGACUGCGAGACCGACGGGUCGAGCAGGUACGAAAGUAGGAGUUAGUGAUCCGGUGGUAUGUGAGUGGAAAUGCCAUCGCUCAACGGAUAAAAGCUACCCUGGGGAUAACAGGCUGAUCUCCCCCAAGCGUCCACAGCGACGGGGAGGUUUGGCACCUCGAUGUCGGCUCGUCACAUCCUGGGGCUGUAUUCGGUCCCAAGGGUUCGGCUGUUCGCCGAUUAAAGUGGCACGCGAGCUGGGUUCAGAACGUCGUGAGACAGUUCGGUCCCUAUCUGUUGCGGGCGUAAGAGAUUUGAAGGGAGCUGUCCUUAGUACGAGAGGACCGGGAUGGACAGACCUCUGGUGCACCAGUUGUCGUGCCAACGGCACAGCUGGGUAGCUACGUCUGGACGAGAUAAACGCUGAAAGCAUCUAAGUGUGAAACUCCCCCUAAGAUAAGAUCUCCCAUCCAUUAGGAGUAAGGGACGACAAAGACUAUGUCGUUGAUAGGUCGGAAGUGUAAGUGCAGUAAUGCAUUGAGCUGACCGAUACUAAUAACCCGAGGGCUUGACCU
rnacentral:rRNA from 1 species